rnacentral:tRNA from 2 species
GCCGGGAUGGCGGAAUCGGCAGACGCGGCGGUCUCAAAAACCGCUGAGGGCAACCUCGUGCGGGUUCGACUCCCGCUCUCGGCACCA